AUUGAACGCUGGCGGCAUGCUUUACACAUGCAAGUCGAACGGUAACAGGCCGCAAGGUGCUGACGAGUGGCGAACGGGUGAGUAACGCAUCGGAACGUGCCCAGUCGUGGGGGAUAACGCAGCGAAAGCUGCGCUAAUACCGCAUACGAUCUGUGGAUGAAAGCGGGGGACCGUAAGGCCUCGCGCGAUUGGAGCGGCCGAUGUCAGAUUAGGUAGUUGGUGGGGUAAAGGCUCACCAAGCCGACGAUCUGUAGCUGGUCUGAGAGGACGACCAGCCACACUGGGACUGAGACACGGCCCAGACUCCUACGGGAGGCAGCAGUGGGGAAUUUUGGACAAUGGGCGCAAGCCUGAUCCAGCAAUGCCGCGUGCAGGAAGAAGGCCUUCGGGUUGUAAACUGCUUUUGUACGGAACGAAAGGCUCUGGUUAAUACCUGGGGCUCAUGACGGUACCGUAAGAAUAAGCACCGGCUAACUACGUGCCAGCCGCCGCUGUAAAAC
rnacentral:rRNA from 1 species